UGUUAAUAAAUUCAAAAAUGAUAUAAAUGCUGGCGUGAUAAUUAUUCCAAACGUAUAGACGAAAUGCCUUACAAUGAAGUAUUGUAACGUAAUAUUUUUGUGCAAAUGGGAAAGCAAAAGAUGAUAGGAAAUAAUUUAAAUACAGAUAUAUUAGGAAGAAUCAAGUUUCUCAUUCAUCUUUUGGGACUACUGAGAAAUACCUACGUCCCUAUUUUUAACAAUAAGAUUAUUAUAAUUUGUUUAUAAACUAAACUUAAUAAGAAGAAAACCACUAUAGAAAAGUAAGCAGGCAAUGUACUUUUUACACGGCUAUGAUGAGACAAAAAUGAAAAGUACCGAAUUGUUUAUAAUGAUUGUGUGAGGUAUGAAAUGAGGUAAAAAGAUUAUUGCUUCCUUAUUGGUAAGAAAAAUAGGAUAAAAUAAAUUGAUUUUGUGUACAUAAUAUAUACCGCGUAUGUUUGUAUUUGUGUUAACCGAUCCUAAUAAUUUAAUUUUUGGAAAACAAUAUGUACACAAUACUUCUUUAAAAUAUAGUGAUAAACAUCUAUACAUUAGAUUUAAAUAAGACUGACACAAAGAUUUAGUGAAUUUGUAUUACAAACAAUAUUUUGCUGAUUCUACCACAGUACGUGCAUCGAGCUCUAGAUAUUCUUUCAGUUUUUACUCUACACUCAAGAACACAUACAUACAAUUAUAUUUAUAUACUGAUAGUUUCAUUCUAGGCAAAAAACAUCGUAAUAAGAUUUUUAAACUAAAAGAAAAUAUUGUAUUUUUCUCAAAUUCAACACUGUUCUAUGUCACAAAAGUAUUACAUUAAAAAAAUUAGACAAAAAAUAGUGUUGCCUUUUUUUUAAUUUCACAGUUAAAGCGAAAUGUACAAAACGCAAUCUUAACAAUAUUAAACGUUUUAAGUAAAUAGUAUUGUAUAAAGUCCUAUUGUCUGACAUUAAACUAUAGAAAAUAAGCUAUAUUUAAACUAAAUUUUUCACUAAAAAAAGUAUACAUUUUAAGUUAUUAAAUUUUAUAUAUAGUUUUCCAUGUAUCAUAUUCAGUAAAAAUCUUUUCUUAUUAAUUUGUAUUAAAAUUGUAAAAAAGAAUUUCUAUCUUGAUGUAUAUAUAAAAUGGGGAAUUUGAUACUUUCGUUCUGUGUUGCGAAAUAUUUUGGUUGUUAAGACAAAUCAAAGAAUUUUUGAACAACUUUCAUGUCAGGUAUAAUUUUAUAAAAUUUAAUUGGAACUAUAAAUAUACAUAAAAUCAUAUCAUGAAAUUUAUUUGUAGAAAGGCAUGAAGAAUUAGAUUAAAUGUAAUAUGGCAUAGAUGUUCAUCAUAGUUUUUCACAGAACAAUCUAAAUUUCUUUUAUUUAUUUAUAAAAAUUCUUUGGUAUGUAAAUUUUAUGAAAGCUUUUCAUUUGUGUACUUUAUAUAAUUAAAUAUAUUAUGUAUUCUAAUACUUUGUUUUAUUACUACUAAACCUUAAAAUGUAACAAUUAUUUUAUUUCGAACAUUAAAAAAUAUAAUACAACUAAAUCGUUAAAAGCAUGAAUUUAAAAACUGUGUCUCGCAAAUAUUGGGAACUCUUGUCUUGAUAAAGUUUGAUGCAGGUACUACCUAGUGUUACAUGUGUAUGUGUAUACACAUUAUAUAUAUAUAAAGUAUUUCACACUUGUACCACAUUUAAAAGAACGUCUCUUAUAUCGUUUCUGAUUUAAUAGCAUUAUCUUGCAGUAAUUAUCAAAUAAUUUUGUUCUAACAAUGUGUUUGAUUGAUUAACGAUACCCAGUUAUUUGUAUUGUAGUACAUGAGAUCGCAUUCAUUUAUCAUUAUCAAUUAUUAAUUAUAUUUAUAGGAUACCAAAGUUAUAUGACAUGGAAAGAAGCUAGAAUAUAUAUAUUCAUCACAUUAUAAAAAAUAUAAUCGGUUAAUAGUUAUUUGGCGAUCUUCCAUAGGUUAUAAUUUUUAAAUAUUUAAUCUGCAGUGAACGUACAAUAAAAUGAAACUACAUUUGUCAGUAUCUAAAAAUAAUUACAAUAGUAUUUCCAGCCGUUCUAUCGUAGCAUUACAAUAGCAUUAAACAUAUGUAUUGUAAUAAAAAAAAUUACAUACUAUAUCAUGAAUUUAGGAAUUAAAAAGACGGAGUACAGAUCUAUUGGGCUUAAGCUUAUGUCGUAACGAGAUACUGCGCAUGUGUGGUGAACGAUCGGUGAUUGGUCGAUAACAAAUGAAUUUCGUUAUUGUGUUGUUAGAAACAUAAAUGAAAAUGAUAUUUCACAAUCCUAACUGGAGAUACCAAGUGAUUAGCAUUUACGAUGCCUUGUUUAGCCUAGCAAUGUUUAGCGUAUUUCAAUUAAUUUUUAGAAACAAAUUACUUUGAAUAAAUAAGAUAUCUUUUUUGUGAUAUGUUUGUGCUUGAAGAAAACCGAGUACUGCAUGCAAAAUGAUACAUUCUGAAAGAGUAGAGUUUGUCCAGAUUACAAAGUCAUACUCUACAAAUGUCAGAAGAUAGAGAAAUGGAAAUAGUUGCUGAUAAAUCCUAAAACAUGUAAAUUUGAAGUAUAUCUAGUAAUAAAUAAUAUAAGUCAUUUAAGAUUUGUUAAAAUAAUGUCUCUUGGACCAACAGAAAAUUAAGCUUGCAUCGAGAAAGAUAUUAACUUUUUAGAUGAUCUAGUCCUUAAUAGAAUAUUUACAAUA